rnacentral:lncRNA from 1 species
CACAUCCCCAGCAUAACCAGAGGAUUCCCUCCUUACAUUUUCUACUCCCCAGCAUAGUCGAGGAAUUAACAUUUCCCUACCCUUACCAUAACCUAAGGGUUGUUCCUUUCCUCCUCCAUCUCCAGCACAGCCAAAAGAACUCUGUGGUCCUCUAAUGCCUUGCAUUCCCCAAGCAUAACCUAGGAUUUUUCAUUCAUCCCGGCAUAACCCGUGGAUUCCCCUGGCAUAACCCAGGAUCUUCUUCCAAUCCCGGCAAAACCCGCGGAUCUCCCUAGCAUAACCUAGGAUUUUUCAUUCAUCCCGGCAUAACCCGUGGAUUCCCCUGACAUAACCCAGGAUCUCCGUCCAAUCCCGGCAUAACCCGAGGAUCUCCUUAGCAUAACCUAGGAUUUUCAUUCAUCCUGGCAUAACCCGUGGAUUCCCCUUGCAUAAUCCAGGAUCUCCUUCCAAUCCCGGCAUAACCCGCGGAUCUCCCUAGCAUAACCUAGGAUUUUUUCAUUCACCCCGGCAUAACCCGCGGAUUCCCCUAGCAUAAUCCAGGAUCUCCUUCCAAUCCCGACAUAACCCGUGGAUCUUCCUAGCAUAACCUAGGGUUUUUUCAUUCAUCCAGGCAUAACCCGCGGAUUCCCCUGGCAUAACCCAGGAUCUCCU